rnacentral:rRNA from 1 species
GAUGAACGCUGGCGGCGUGCUUAACACAUGCAAGUCGAACGAAGCAUUUAAGACAGAUUACUUCGGUUUGAAGUCUUUUAUGACUGAGUGGCGGACGGGUGAGUAACGCGUGGGUAACCUGCCUCAUACAGGGGGAUAGCAGCUGGAAACGGCUGGUAAUACCGCAUAAGCGCACAGUACCACAUGGUACAGUGUGAAAAACUCCGGUGGUAUGAGAUGGACCCGCGUCUGAUUAGCUAGUUGGCGGGGUAACGGCCCGCCAAGGCGACGAUCAGUAGCCGAACUGAGAGGGUGACCGGCCACAUUGGGACUGAGACACGGCCCAGACUCCUACGGGAGGCAGCAGUGGGGAAUAUUGCACAAUGGAGGAAACUCUGAUGCAGCGACGCCGCGUGAGUGAAGAAGUAGUUCGCUAUGUAAAGCUCUAUCAGCAGGGAAGAUAGUGACGGUACCUGACUAAGAAGCGCCGGCUAAAUACGUG